rnacentral:rRNA from 1 species
UACGGAGGGUGCAAGCGUUAAUCGGAAUUACUGGGCGUAAAGCGCACGCAGGUGGCUGAGUCAGUCGAUUGUGAAAGCCCUGGGCUUAACCUGGGAAUUGCAGUCGAUACUACUCAGCUAGAGUAUGGGAGAGGGUAGUGGAAUUCCCGGUGUAGCGGUGAAAUUCGUAGAUAUCAGGAGGAACACCGGUGGCGAAGGCGGCGACCUGGGACAAUACUGACACUGAGGUGCGAAAGCGUGGGGAGCAAACAGG